rnacentral:rRNA from 1 species
UUCGCAAUGCCCGAAAGGGUGACGAAGCGACGCCGCGUGGGUGAGGAAGGCCCUCGGGUUGUAAAGCCCUGUCAGGAGUUAAGAAAUGUAGGUACGCUAAUAUCGUAUCUAUUUGACAAAGGCUCCAAAGGAAGCCACGGCUAACUCUGUGCCAGCAGCCGCGGUAAUACAGAGGUGGCAAGCGUUGUUCGGAAUUACUGGGCGUAAAGAGCACGUAGGUGGAUUUGUAAGUCAGAUGUGAAAGCCUUCUGUUCAACGGGAGAAUUGCAUCUGAAACUACAAACCUUGAGUAUAGGAGGGGAGAAUGGAACUUCUGGUGGAGCGGUGAAAUGCGUAGAUAUCAGAAGGAACGCCGGCGGCGAAAGCGAUUCUCUGGCCUAUUACUGACACUCAGUGUGCGAAAGCUAGGGGAGCAAACGGGAUUAGAUACCCCGGUAGUCCUAACCGUAAACGAUGGGCACUAAGUAGAGGGGUUUU